CCGGGGAAGCGCGCCCCGGUUCUCCGUCCACCUUUCUGGUAAAGCCUCCCCCGCGUUCCUUGGCGGGCGUUCAGAAGCAGGUCAUAAUGUGCCUAGUUUAAGAAAGAAAAGGUGAUAUUUUCAGCUGAUUCACAGAAGAGGAAAAACUGCUACUGUCACUAAAGAUGCAACAGGAAGACAUGCAUCCAGCAAUCUAAAGACAAUUUAAACUGAAGCAGUUCUUUCCAAUUUAGCCCUACCUGGAGAUGAUGGGGUUGAAAGAAGUACUAGCACAUUGCAACAUUUUAUUAACUUCCCUAAUCUUCCCAAACCGUCACUGAGAGAAAUGGUAUCGAACAUGUGAUAAGAACAUCAACAACAACUGGCAUUUUUUGCACAUGAAAUUGAAAUAAACUUUAUUUUUUACAAGCUUACCACAUGCAAGUGUUUCAGCUGGUUAUACUAGGGCUACACACAUGCGGGUGAAUUACUUCAUUGAUAAUAGUCAUGGAGCAGUUCCCUGAACUAAUGUAAGAAUACAAAACAACAAUAUUUAAAGCCAUACCGUAAAGCUAUACACAUUCAAAUCGCAUUUGAAUAAUCUCCUUUACACAUGUGAUACACAACUGAUCUAACCGUGGACAACCAUCUGGAUUUGCCAUCUGUUCUUCCACAUCAAAAUACUGGCUCCCAAUUUGGCAGUCAUGUAAAGACUGUAAAUGUAUAAAUGCAUUCAUCCCCAAGCAUCCCAAGAGCAGUGCUGAAAUUAGCCUUUCGACAUGGCGAUUGGGCUGGCAGACGUCCCUUGAGGUAGACAAUCUUGCCGUUUGGAUGGCUACAUUGAGGAAGCAGCCCAUAGGGAGGCUUCACUAAAGUCUCAGCCUUUAUUGCUCCUUUGGUGUUCCCUUUACAAAAGCUCUUGGAUGAUCCUCAUCUACCCCAGCCUGAAGAAACCUUCAGGCAGAGAACACAACUUUUAUUUGUUCCUCCUUGUGUCUGAUAAGAAAUCAAGUAUAUCUCCCAGAUUGUCCAGUUUUGUGCCUUGUUCUGUUCUAUUCACCUUAUUUAUAACUGAAGAUUUUAACUUUCAUCUACUUACUUCUAUUAUAUGUUACCUUAUUUUACCAUUAUUGUCCUCUUUUUCUUGUAGUCAUAUUUCAUUUUUAUUCUUUCUUAUAUAUUUUAUAUUUAUAUUUACUUCUGGUAGACUGAUACACACACACACAUACACAUACAUACUGUAUGUAUAUACACUAUAUGUAUACAGUAGGCUUUAUCUUGCUGUUUUCUGGCCUUAUGGUUAUAAUAAAUGACUUGGUUUGAUUUGA